rnacentral:sRNA from 12 species
GCAGCCGCCGGACGGGGCGGGCCGCGAGGGUUGGGGAGCCCGAUGACCGGUUCGCCGCCGAGAUGGGACCGGGUUUUAGGGAGCCCGGCCCGAUCGCUCUGGCGAAGAAG